CCCUUAGAUGUUCUGGGCUGCACGCGCGCUACACUGAUGCGCUCAACGAGUUUUAACCUUGCCUGGAAAGGUUGGGUAAUCUUUUUAAAACGCAUCGUGAUGGGGAUAGAUUAUUGCAAUUAUUAAUUUUCAACGAGGAACUCCUAGUAAGUGCAAGUCAUCAGCUUGCGCUGAUUACGUCCCUGCCUAUUGUACACACCGCCCGUCGCUCCUACCGAUUGGGUGAUCCGGUGAAUAUUUCGGACUGCAUCUUCCUUCGGGUUGCUGCGGGAAGUUUUGUAAACCUUAUCACUUAGAGGAAGGAGAAGUCGUAACA
rnacentral:rRNA from 1 species